UACGGGGGGGGCAAGCGUUGUUCGGAAUUACUGGGCGUAAAGGGCUCGUAGGCGGCCAACUAAGUCAGACGUGAAAUCCCUCGGCUUAACCGGGGAACUGCAUCUGAUACUGGAUGGCUUGAGUUCGGGAGAGGGAUGCGGAAUUCCAGGUGUAGCGGUGAAAUGCGUAGAUAUCUGGAGGAACACCGGUGGCGAAGGCGGGUCUCUGGGCCGAUACUGAUGCUGAGGAGCGAAAGCGUGGGGAGCGAACAGG
rnacentral:rRNA from 1 species